rnacentral:lncRNA from 1 species
UUUUAUUAUAACGCCUAGUUUUACUCCUUAACUGGUUGAGUACUGGCUCAUCUUUAACAAUAUAGGUACAUUAGAUGAAUAUCGUAACAUAAUGUUCUUCAAAGAUGUAUUGGUAUUGGAAUUAGUCGAACUGUCGAAAAUAUUGCUUACCUUUAAAAUUACGUUAGUAAAGUCCUGUUGUGGUGAUAAUAUUAAGGAAUCUUACGAACUUAAAUAUUAGAGGAUUUAUAUUAGACGCGGCUUAGUUCACUUUUUCAUGUAAUAAAUAAAGGAUGUAUAGAAUAAAUCUAUAAGAAACUGUAACAUAAUAUAUAUUUUUUGCGAAGAGAUAUGACUAAAGGCAGAACAUUUUAUACUGCCGCAUUAAAUAAUAUCCGCUGUUUUUGGACUCUACAUUUAUUCGUUUUUAGCUCAUUGUAUACUUUGGUUAGUUGCAAAAGUACUACUGUAUACCAAGUUAAAGUAUUAUAGUUAUAAAAUAAUACUAUAUUUGAACAUAAUAUCAGCGUCACAGUCUGAAUUUAACAUUGCCAUUUAUAAACAUUUUGGCGCGCUGUUCGCUAUCUACGAUCUCGUCUCGGUAGAAAACACGUUUAUGGAAGUUUAUUAGUUGCCCGCGUCGCCUGUUUGAGAUUGUCGACAUGAUUUACGCACAAUACAACAUUAUAAUAUAUUUCGCGGCUACGAUAGUGAAUUUAUUACAAUUUGUUUUUUCUUUUCCAAAUGGAAACGAAUAUAUGAAGGAUGUAGCGAAUAGUGUCGAUGCACCUGGAGUUUUCUUUGAUAAAAUGUUCAUACAAAAAAAUAAUAUUAUGGAUAACAGCCCAUCGAAUAAAAGGAUGAAAAGACAGGUCGGAUCUGGCGCAGGUAAAAAAAUGAGAUUAUUCAUUAAUAAUCGUAUUCUUUUUUCAAAAUACGAUAGUGUUCUUUUUUUAAUUU